rnacentral:miRNA from 1 species
UGAGGUAAUCAUCGUUGUCACU